AGCGGUACCGGCGCAAGAAGGAGGGGUUGGCGAUGAGACGGCAGAAGGCGACGCAGGCGGCGGAGGCGCGAACGAGGUCGGCAGGGGAGCCGAUCCGGAGGAAUAUCUCCACCACGAGGUCGUUGGUGAGGGCUUCCAGAGUUCGUGGAGAUUCCAUGGCUAAGAGGCCGGAGCUCGGAUCGGUGAAAUCGGCGACGAUGUGGCCGGCAAGACUCCCGCCGCCGGCGCCCUGCGGAUGGAUGAGGCUGACCGAUGGG
rnacentral:lncRNA from 1 species